GACGAACGCUGGCGGCGUGCUUAACACAUGCAAGUCGAACGGAAAGGCCCCUUUGGGGGUACUCGAGUGGCGAACGGGUGAGUAACACGUGAGUAACCUGCCCUUGAUUUCGGGAUAACUUCAGGAAACUGGGGCUAAUACCGGAUAGGAAUCCUUGCUGCAUGGUGGGGGUUGGAAAGCUUCGGCGGUUUUGGAUGGACUCGCGGCUUAUCAGCUUGUUGGUGGGGUAGUGGCUUACCAAGGCUUUGACGGGUAGCCGGCCUGAGAGGGCGACCGGCCACAUUGGGACUGGGAUACGGCCCAGACUCCUACGGGAGGCAGCAGUGGGGAAGAGUGAAAAAUGGGCGGGAGCCUGAUGCAGCAACGCCGCGGGCGGGAGGACGGCCUACGGGUUGUAAACCGCUUUCAGCAGGGGCGAAGCUUGUGGUGACGGUACCUGCAGAAGAAGCACCGGCUAACUACGUG
rnacentral:rRNA from 1 species